rnacentral:sRNA from 1 species
AUUUAGCCCUGAUAGUAGCGGUUACCCCACAGCAUACGGCAGGAAAAGCUGGGCGCGAGGAGUAUGAGCGGAUAGCAGGAAACAGC